rnacentral:rRNA from 1 species
UACGUAGGGUGCAAGCGUUGUCCGGAAUUAUUGGGCGUAAAGAGCUCGUAGGCGGUUUGUCGCGUCUGCUGUGAAAUCCCAGGGCUUAACCCUGGGCCUGCAGUGGGUACGGGCAAACUAGAGUGCGGUAGGGGAGAUCGGAAUUCCUGGUGUAGCGGUGAAAUGCGCAGAUAUCAGGAGGAACACCGGUGGCGAAGGCGGAUCUCUGGGCCGAUACUGACGCUGAGGAGCGAAAGCGUGGGGAGCGAACAGG